rnacentral:rRNA from 1 species
AACGAACGCUGGCGGCAGGCCUAACACAUGCAAGUCGAGCGAACCCUUCGGGGUUAGCGGCGGACGGGUUAGUAACGCGUGGGAAUAUACCCUUUGGUACGGAAUAGCCUCGGGAAACUGAGAGUAAUACCGUAUGUGCCCUUCGGGGAAAGAUUUAUCGCCAAAGGAUUAGCCCGCGUUGGAUUAGAUAGUUGGUGGGGUAAUGGCCUACCAAGUCUACGAUCCAUAGCUGGUUUGAGAGGAUGAUCAGCAACACUGGGACUGAGACACGGCCCAGACUCCUACGGGAGGCAGCAGUGGGGAAUCCUUAGACAAUAGG